rnacentral:rRNA from 1 species
AUGGAGGUGCCGCCGUAUUGGACGGCCGCCCUGGUCCGGGAGGUUUUCAUCAACUUCUUCAAGUCCAAGUCGCACACGCCAUGGCCGUCGAGCCCCGUGGUACCCGUCAACGACGGCACGCUCUUGUUCACCAACGCCGGGAUGAACGGGUUCAAGCCGAUAUUCCUCGGCCUUGCCCCCCCGGACUCGCAGCUUGGCCGCCUGCGCCGCGCCUGCAACACCCAGAAGUGCAUCCGUGCCGGCGGCAAGCACAACGACCUCGACGACGUGGGGAAGGACACCUACCACCACACCUUCUUCGAGAUGCUCGGGAACUGGUCUUUCGGAGACUACUUCAAUGACGGGGCCAUCGGGUAUGCAUGGGACCUCCUCACCCAGGUCUACAAAUUGCCCACUGAUAGAAUUUAUGCAACAUACUUUGGUGGUGAUGAGAAAGCUGGUCUCGCUCCCGAUACCGAGUCGAAAAACAUAUGGUUGAAGUAUCUACCUAAUGAAAGAGUUCUGCCUUUCGGUUGCAAGGAUAACUUCUGGGAGAUGGGCGACACAGGUCCAUGUGGGCCAUGCACAGAGAUUCAUUUUGAUCGUAUUGGCAACCGUGAUGCGGCUUCAUUAGUGAAUAAUGAUGACCCUACUUGUAUUGAGAUAUGGAAUCUUGUGUUUAUUCAGUUCAACAGGGAAUCAGACGGUACUUUGAGAUCCUUGCCAGCAAAACACGUUGACACUGGGAUGGGCCUUGAGCGUUUGACUUCUAUCCUUCAGAAUAAAAUGAGCAAUUACGAUACAGAUGUAUUCAUGCCAUUAUUUGAUGCCAUCCACAAGCUGGCAGGUGUUGGAAUUCAGCCAUACUCUGGUAAAGUAGGAUCCGAUGAUGUUGGGAAAGUUGAUAUGGCAUAUAGGGUUGUUGCAGAUCACAUAAGAACCCUUUCUUUUGCUAUCGCUGAUGGUUCUCAACCUGGUGAGUUUAUACUGUUUUGGUUGGGGAUACAUCAUUUAAAAUGA